UAGAUUGAUAGAUAAAAUCUUAUGCAUUUUAAAAGUAAUCUUUAUAGCAUUAUAUUUAAAUUCUAAAUUGUUAUCCUAUCAUAAAUGUUUUGUAAAAUUGUUAAAUUACUCGUAUAUAUUUUUCCUAGUCUUAUAUUUCUUAUUUUAUACGUACUGUUAGUAUCUAAUACGUGUACUCCCUAACCAAUUAAACGCACACACGCACCGGUAUACUUAUCUCCUCCUUAUAACCCCACGUUUAUCCACUCUCACAAUUUAUCUUCAAAAGAACGUAUAUCAUAUAUAUGUUGAUAGCAAAAUAAAAGAGGAAAGCAAAAAUUAGAGUGGGAGAGACAGAGAGGGAGAGUCCGAACCAAAGGGAGCCAGAGGAUGAGAAGGAGAGGAGAGGGGAAGGGAAGGAAGAGGCGUUGCCGGUGAUGAACACAGCCACCGUCGCCGCUGUCUGACCGCCACACCACCAAACCCUAGCCGUCAUAGAGGAGAGGGUGAUCGAAGUAGAGAAGCACCGCGUGAAGGAGGGAAGUUCCAUCGCCGGCGCUGCUGUUAGUGGAAGCCGCUACCACCGCAGCGGGGAAAACGAACAUGGGAGAAGAGGUUUCGUUGAUGCUGUGACAGAGGAAGAGGACGAGACGUGUGUGAGAGAGUGACGCACCGAGGAGGGACCAUUCCUCUGCCGCUGCCGCUGCCGGAAUUUCUGGUUGCCGCCAUGAUUAAUGUUAUAUGAUGUUUGCUGGAGUUUGUCCCAAUUGGACCCACUGGCGAAGGUGUUGCCGCUGCCGGAAGCCAACGCCGGGCUGUUGCUGGUUCUGAUUCUAUUACCUUGGUACUGGUCUAAUCUUUUCUUUGGGACUUGUCCAUUUGCACGCUCUGUUUUGGCACUGGUAUAGUUGUUAUAUUCUUGUUUUAAUUCAAUUUUAGUUUUUACUUUGUCGUCAAUUCCCAGGGCUGUUUAUGCCCUUGACUACAUUAGAUUCAAAUUCUUGUCCUGCUGCAACCAUCAUCAUUGCCGCGAAAUUAAAGUUGUUGCUGUUCCAGUGGUGUCCUUGAUUGCAUUAGGAUUGUUGUCACUGCUGUAAAUUAGAAACGAAACGGGGGCAGUUGUGUUCAAAUUCUGCAAUUGCGACAUCAAGUGACACAGGUUUGAAGAUGCAAUUUGAAGCUGCGAGCGAUUAAUAGGUUUUCUUUAUGGUUUUAAUUGCUUUCAUAGAAUCCCCUCGCUCUUGUCCUUUGAGGUUUUAUUUUAACAGAGGGGUAGGUGUUGUAUUUGGGUUUAUAUGACUUCUUAUGUAUAAGAAUUACUAUUAAUAAUACUUAUGUGAUUGUUAUUAUUAUUUGCAA